AUUGCACGCUGGCGGCAGGCCUAACACAUGCAAGUCGAGCGGAGCGGCGGACGGGUGAGUAAUGCCUAGGAAUCUGCCUGGUAGUGUGGGCUAACGUCCGGAAACGGGCGCUUAUACCGCCUACUAUCAGAUGGGCCUCGGUCGGAUUAGCUAGUUGGUGGGGUACAGGCCUACCAAGGCGACGAUCCGUAACUGGUCUGAGAGGAUGAUCAGUCACACUGAAACUGAGAAACGGCCUAGACUGCUACUGGAGGCAGAAGUGGGGGAGAUUGAACAAUGGGCGAAAGCCUGAUGCAGCGACGCCGCGUGGGGGAUGAAGGCUUUCGGGUUGUAAACAGCUUUCGCUAUCGAACGGGUAUGUGGAGAAGAAGCGCCGGCUAACUACGUGCCAGCAGCCGCGGUAAUUC
rnacentral:rRNA from 1 species